rnacentral:lncRNA from 1 species
AGUAUUCCAUGUAAAUGACAACAUAUAUUAUAUGCUAGGAAGACAACAUGUUUGCAAACAUUGGAUAAAAAAAUAAAAAAACAUCUCGAUAUAUAUUUUUUACUCCGUGGCAACGCACGGGUGUUUUGCUAGUAUAUGUAGUCCAUCGAUGAAACCUUAAAAAAAAAUUAUAUUUAGAAACCGAGAAAGUAGGCAUUUAAGUUAGAUCCACGCUUUAAUAAACGUAAGGAAUCACAACAACCAAAAUCGAGCCAGCCUAUCUUUUUUCCUUUUGAAUCUUAAUCAGACCAACGAUUUUCUUUUGUGAAACUCAAUCUCACCACGACAGAUUGACAGCAUGAGGAACUGAGGGAGAGGAAUUGGAGGCUUGGAGCUGGAUGAGGUGUACAGUGAGCUGCCACGCCCGCAUGCCGCAGCCGAUACAGUGCCUGAGGAGCAGCCGAAUUAGAGAAUAGAGAUGAGGGAGGAGCGUCGUGCUAGGAGACCGAUAGCCGGCGGGUGGGGAAGGCGCGCCAUUCUUGGGAGGCUCGAAGCCGGGACCAGGGGUGGGUAGGAGAACCGGGGGAGGCACUCCGUGAUUCCCUCUCCUCCGGCGUGAGCCGCUCCGGUGCUGCCAUUAGAGACGGUGGCAGAAACAACAACACCGCCGCCACUGAGAAUUUGGGAUAUGGGAAUCACUUGAUUUGGGUUAGGGCAUGCGUGGUUAGGGGAUGCGUG